rnacentral:misc_RNA from 1 species
GUGAAUCAUCAAAUUUUUGAACGCAAAUUGCACUCUCUGGCAUUCCGGAGAGUAUGCCUGUUUGAGGGUCAGUAUAAUCAAAAUCGGAGCGAUGCUUUUUGGGUUACGCACUGGAGUGUGGGUCAUCUCAACUCUUUUUUUUAAGAGACCUAAAAUUAACAUUCUUUUUUGCUCAUUUUUGAGACGCACAUAAUUUUUUUUUAUUCGUCUACUUUGGUGGCAAAACUUUUAUUAUAUCGUGAAUUACGUAGAGUGGAUUCCCGUCUAUAAUUAUCAU